CGUGCUGAAAAACAUAUGCGCUACAUGCGAAGCUCCGGAGCGGGGCGCUCCGUAAUGAUCGCCGGCGCUCUCCCAGCAGUGUCGUCGCCCAGAUGGUUGUCAAGACGGAUGCCCCUCACCUCCUCUUGCUCCGUCUUUUUCCCAGCCGGUGGUAUGCCAGCGCGGUUGUCGGCCCAUCUCGCUCCUCGCCGUCACUUUGCGCGACGCACGGAACCGCGCUUGUUUGAGGUGAACCCAACUCGCGAGAGCUACGUGAUCGAGACUGCCUUCGAGGAACCGACCUUUCGCUUUAUCUGCGAAGGCGUCGACGUCGACUUCAAGGAGGACGUACGCGAGGCGCUGGCAAAGGUGCUUCCACCUUCCCCUUCGAACUUCACCCAGCGGGAGGAAGGCACAGCACUGCAGCUACCCCAGAUACUCCUGGCAUUGCGGUCGCUGUGCCGGCAGCAACUUGUCUCGUUCGCGCAGGUCCGCUCCACACCGCGACUGCUGGCGUCCUACUACGAAGCCCUUGCCGCGGCCAACCCGGUGCUGGCGGUGCUGGCGGCUGAGCACUACACCUUUGCCGGGCUAGUGGCGACGCACGCGAAGAAGAGUGUUCGGGACGUCGUACUUGCGGGUGUUGACAGCGCCGCGACUAUUGGAUGCAUUGCUGAGAAGGAGCUUAUCGCGGAGGGCACGCCGCUGAACACGGAGGCGCGCUACGACGUGCACGAGCGGUGCUUUGUGCUUCGUGGCACGGGCAAGUUUGGCGUGGUGGCUGCGGCCUGCGCGCAGUGGGCCGUGGUGAGCGCCACCCUCACCCUCAACAAGAAGGAGCACAACGGCACACACCUCUUUUUGGUCCAACUUCGAGAAGGUGACUUGCUCAGUGCGUCGGGGCAACUUCGUCGUGGUAUAUCGGUGCGCCCUAUCACGGGCGAGAACACCACCAUGGCUGGCUGUGGCGUGGCCGUGCUGCAUUUCGAGGACGUACGAAUCCCGAGCGAUCACUUGCUCGACCCGUACUGCAUCACGAGCGAGUCAAAGGUGGGGUACGUGGCUGGACAGGAAAGUCAGGAACCAGCAACAGAGGUGCUGCGCACCCGCCGCCGCAUCGCCACCGGCGCCAUUUACAUUGGCGUGACGAAGAAGCUCCUUACUGACGUGGUCACCUACACGGCCGACAAGUACGUAGUGGGGCCUGACUAUCGCCGCAACUACCCCUUUCUGGGCCUCCAGCACAUCCAAUCACCGCUUGUGAGCAUGGUGGCGAAGUCGUAUGUGUACCUGGUUGCGUGGCAGCGACUCCUGCCAGUUUUCACGAACCCUUCCGGGUCGCCGUCGUACGAGGACCACAUGCGCCUCGCCGGCACGGUUCACUUCCUACAGGAGAACCUGCUCGACUUACAGACGUUUGCCGACAAGACGAUGGGUCUGCACGGCUCUUUCGCCAGCACAGGCAAAGAUGCUGCUGUGACUCUUGUGCAUCUCCGGCAAGAGGACCUGGAUACCUCUGCCUUGAUUCGCGAGGUCGCCUUCCGGUCGGUCACUAAGAACAUUGGCACAACGCACUGGGGCUGGUGGCUGACAAGUCUUCUACAGCCGGUGUUUCCAGCCCUCAAUCGCUUUUUGAAGAACCCACUGUACUCGCCUCGCAUUGCUGAUCUCGGACGUCAUCUGAUCUUCUUCAGUCACAAGCACUACAGUCUCAAGAAGCGUCUGCGGCAGUCACGCGAGCUAGAACGGCGAAAGGGCGGCAGUGAGCAUGAGUGGUAUGACUGGGUGAUGUUUCGCCACCGCACCGUCGUGCACUGCGGUGAGGCGUUCAUGGAGGUGUACUACCUUGAUGUGAUGAUGAAGGAGACCGAGAAGUGCAGCGACCCGCGUGGACGCAAGAUUCUGCGCGACAUUGCCUGGAUCUACGCCUUGACGCGGCAGAUGGACCGGUUGGACUUUUUGCUGUCGUCGAAGAUGCUGAGCCCAGGCAAGGCAGAGACCCUCGUAAGCCAUAUCGACAACAUUGUGACAGUGCUCGCUCCGCAGUGUGUGCAUCUCGUGGAAGCGAUGCAGGUGCCAGAGUUCGCUCGUGCGCCGUGCCGCUCGGCGACGUAUAUGGAGGCGUACUGGACUAUCCCAGGAACGAACACGCACAUUGAGCGCGGGGAUCGACUCACCCUGCGUGACGCCUCGAAAGCCUCGUCUUCCAAGGGCCGCCGCGGGGCCGAAAAUGCCAAGGCGGCGCAGGAGGCGAUACGUGAGUCGCCGGAGGAGUUUGACUUGUUCCACGGUCUUGCCGACGAGCCGUCGUACGCGCGCCGCAAGGCGCCGUAGCAGCGUGGCUGUGGCAUUUGGGUUCUCAUGAGCUCGAGUUGCGUGUGGGCAUGGGUGUGUAUCAAUCAGGUGCGCCGGAGCGCAUCAAUAUCGUUGCAACCAUCACAUGUUCAUGUGUGUGUGCGUGUGCGUGUACUUGGGAGGCCAUGGGCUGGGGGAUGGGGGGAGUCGUCUGUCGUGUUCUCCUUGCCUUUCCCUUGUUGCCUUUACGUCUGUCGCGCGUAUGCACCACUUGAACAGGAUGAAGCGUUUUGGUCUUCUGUUUUGUGAAGCGAAUUUCGUUGCUGCCUGGCGCGGCGCUAUCACAGAGGCCUGCGCAACAUAAGGGCCAAGAGGAGGAAAACACGACUCAGAGGGCAGUCGCAGCCACGGGCAUAGCAUCGGACACGAGAGAGAGUGAGAAAGAGGUCUCUCUUGAUUUGCUACUCACUUGUGCUUCUUCUAUCUAAGCACCUAGCGACUUGCAGGUUCUCGUCACAGGGUGUGGUGGAGGUUGCUUGAGUCGGCAGGUGGUGAGUGAAGGUCAGAUGGGGCUGACACGGAUCGCCUAAUGAGUUGAUGUGCAUUAUAGCGGCACAUGCACCUCUCUUUUUCUUUAUAGGUUUUCUAUUCUUCUCCCCAGCGUGCCCUUCCCUUCUUUGUUUCUUAUCGACUUUCUCUCCCGUACGUGUGACCCACCGUGGCGGUAUACACAGAGGGACGAAAUGCAACAACAACCCGCGUGCGUGAUCGCCGCCUUUGCCCGCGCAUUUCUCCCCACACUGCGACUCUGACACCGGGAGACGGUUUGUAAAUCUUUCUCCGUCGGUGUGCACACACGCGUGGGUUUGCGCGGGUAGCACAGAAGGGAAGCGAGAGAGUGAGAGGGAAACCUUGGGUGUUGGGAAUAAAACGAGGACGACGGCGCGGCCCCCUUUUCCUUCCCCUCCUCUUUUCCGGCCUCUCUCUCCAUCAAGGCACCUUUCUUUGGUUCUUUCAUCUGCACACCCGCCUCACUUUUCUGGAAUUGCUCAG
rnacentral:misc_RNA from 1 species